GGGUCUGUAGCUCAGGUGGUUAGAGCGCACGCCUGAUAAGCGUGAGGUCGGAGGUUCAAGUCCUCCCAGACCCACCA
rnacentral:tRNA from 2 species